rnacentral:rRNA from 1 species
GUGGGGAAUCUUGCGCAAUGGGCGAAAGCCUGACGCAGCAACGCCGCGUGCGGGAUGAAGGCCUUCGGGUUGUAAACCGCUUUCAGCAGGGACGAAAAUGACGGUACCUGCAGAAGAAGCUCCGGCUAACUACGUGCCAGCAGCCGCGGUAAUACGUAGGGAGCAAGCGUUGUCCGGAUUUAUUGGGCGUAAAGAGCUCGUAGGCGGUUUCGUAAGUCGAGUGUGAAAAAUCUGGGCUUAACCCAGUGGAGCACUCGAUACUGCGAUGACUUGAGUGUGGUAGAGGAGUGUGGAAUUCCUGGUGUAGCGGUGAAAUGCGCAGAUAUCAGGAGGAACACCAACGGCGAAGGCAGCACUCUGGGCCAGUACUGACGCUGAGGAGCGAAAGCGUGGGGAGCAAACAGGAUUAGAAACCCCGGUAGUCC